GAAUCCCCUUCCUUCUUUAUAUAUUUCAUGUGUGUCUUUCACACAGUUGUAUGCUCAAUCAAAGAGGAUGAACUUUUCUAAAUAGAGAAGGACCAGACUUUGGAGUCUAUAAUAGUUGAUCUGUUCACCUGCUAGAACCAUCAAUCAAGCUCUCAAAGUACAUUUUAAAUUAUAUCCUUAUACACAUGGAUAGUAGUAUUUAU
ensembl:misc_RNA predicted gene, 22143